ACAAUAAAUACUGAUACAGGG
rnacentral:misc_RNA from 1 species